rnacentral:lncRNA from 1 species
CUCUUCUUUUUCUUCUUUUUUCCUCUUCUUAUUUAUUUCUCCUCUUCUUCCUCUCCUCUUCUUCUCCUUUCUUCCUCUUCUUAUUUUCCUUUUUCUCCUCUCAUUCUUUUUCUUCUUCUUCCUUUCCAAGCUAGAUAUUUAAAAAAUUUCUAAAAAAUAAACUAACCUCAAAUGUACUAAAUCUAACUUUUGCAUAUAUGGACAUAUAUACACAAAGAACAUACAAACAUAUAUACAUUUUUAUAAAAAAGCAAAAACAUCAUAUUCUAUAAAAAAUCAUAUACAUAUAAUCUGAAAAAA